rnacentral:lncRNA from 1 species
UAAAUAGAAAUUUUGGAGAAGUUUUUUUUAGUUCUGUAUCGGUUCUAUGUUUGCGAAGACACUGCACAGAUGGGAGUGGGGCUAUGUAGAAUAAGUAGUUAUUUGCUGAAUUGUAGAUACUUAGUUUAUAGUGUAAACAGGGAUAGAUGACUGUUGAAAGGGUAGUUCAGUAGGUAAAAUGGAUGAAUAGUUAGGAAAAGCAGUUUUCAUUAGAGAUGUAGCAAUUGGUAUCUCGUGGUAGCAUAAGGAGGAUGGGAGAGAGGAAGUAAGGGCCAGACUGUGAUAGUGUGAGCCGGGAUAAGCUUGGUGCUACCUCUUUUCUUUUGUUUGUUAUUUUUUUUGAAUAAGAAGAUUAAGAGUUUUUGAAUAUUGUGAAAGUGAAUUAUGAAAUGAAAGUAUGAUUGUUAUUAAAUGGGAAGAAGAAAGAUUGAAUGCUGAAAUCUGAUUGUAGUUCAGCAGAGAAAAUGAGUCUGUGUUUGUGUGAAACACUAUAAUGUGAAGGCAGUUAAUGGUGAAGAACUCCAGAAUUUGGAUUAUAAUAUGAUUAUGUCUUGUCAUUUAGGAUAGUGCGAGAUUACACGUUGUUGUUAUCAGUGAUGG